GCAGCCGCGGUAAUACGGAGGAUGCGAGCGUUAUCCGGAUUUAUUGGGUUUAAAGGGUGCGUAGGCGGCACGUCAAGUCAGCGGUUAAAUGUCGGGGCUCAACCUCGGCCUGCCGUUGAAACUGAUGAGCUAGAGAGGAUGAGAAGUAUGCGGAAUGCGUGGUGUAGCGGUGAAAUGCAUAGAUAUCACGCAGAACUCCGAUUGCGAAGGCAGCAUGCCGGCAUCUAUCUGACGCUGAGGCACGAAAGCGUGGGGAUCGAACAGGAUUAGAUACCCC
rnacentral:rRNA from 1 species